UCUGAUCUGAUGUGUUUCUAGCCUGG
rnacentral:piRNA from 1 species